UAGAAACAACCCAAAUAUUCAUUAAAUAGUAACUGGAUAAACAAAUUCAAGUACAUCCAUCCAUACAGGGAAAACUACUCAGCAAUCAAGAAACAGCAUGCUCCAUUCAAUAACAUGGAUGAACCUGGAUAGCAGAUUAUGCUCAGCAGAAGAGGCCAUAUUCCAGAGGCAUUAAGGAAAAGGCAAAUCUAUGAAAAACCAAACUAUGCGGCUGCCCAUGGUUGGAAUGAUGACUCAUGUGUCUGCCCAACAGAACUUACACGUCCGAGAAAUCCAUUCCAUCUAACCCGAGGGAGCCCAUAAAACACUCAUGGGAGCAGCAGAGACCCGAAGAUUCCAAUUCUACGUGGCAAGUCCCAGAGAGUAUCGCAAGCUCUGAAUCUUUUACUUCGCUCCAGUCACAGAGACACCGACAUCUCCCAAAUCUAGACGGUGUCAGGGCAGGUAGGCUGUGCUGGCCUUGUUUUUAAAUCUCCCAGGACAAAAGUACUUUUAAAUCACAAGGUAUCUGAGUCCCUCCACUCCCCAGCUCCAGCUUUCCUCUCUGAAUUUUCUCCGGACUGGCCUGGGCACCACUGCCCAUUCCUCUCUUUCUACUAGAAACUACCCCGUGGUCUCAGCAUACCAGAUUACAGCACUGGCAAUAAAUCCAAGGGGUAUUUCUCA